rnacentral:lncRNA from 1 species
CCCUUUAGAGAUUCGAUUCUUCACAUUGUCUUCUUCCUCCAACCACUCUAAACUAUCUUCAUAUUUCAUCAAUUCUUCUUGGAUCUAUUGAAUCUUGUUGAUAGAAUUGAACCUUUUUUCCUUCUGUUUUGUCAUCCUCAUUGGUAAUUGUCUUAGAAUAACCUCUUAAGACACUUUACCAUCCCAAUUAUAUUUUUUUUCAUGAGUCCUCUUUUUCUUAAAUCCUUUUCUUUGUUGCCUAGGUGAAAGAUCUCCGUCCCUAGCCACUUUAGCAAAGCAUUCAUCCAAUACUUCAUCCUCAUCUUCUUCGUCAAAUAUGUCAAUGCCUAAAUCAUCCUCAAACGCUUCUAUUGGAUAUUCUACAAAAUCUCCUGACUCACACCUCUUAGCCUGGAACCCUUUGGUAGGAUUAUCCAUAUCAUUCAAAGGUGCACUUAUUUAAGCCACAAGCUG